UGGGGAAUAUUGCGCAAUGGGGGAAACCCUGACGCAGCGACGCCGCGUGGGUGAUGAAGGCCUUCGGGUCGUAAAGCCCUGUCGGGAGGGAAGAAAAAAUCCGGACCUAAUACGUUCGGGAAUUGACGGUACCUCCUAAGGAAGCACCGGCUAACUCCGUGCCAGCAGCCGCGGUAAUACGGAGGGUGCUAGCGUUGUUCGGAAUCACUGGGCGUAAAGGGCGUGUAGGCGGUUUAUUAAGUCAGUUGUCAAAUUCCACUGCCUAACGGUGGGUCGGCGAUUGAUACUGAUGAACUAGAGGGUGGAAGAGAGGAGUGGAAUUCUCGGAGUAGCGGUAAAAUGCGUAGAUCUCGAGAGGAACACCAAUUGCGAAGGCAGCUCCUUGGUCCAUACCUGACGCUCAAGUACGAAAGCGUGGGGAGCAAACAGGAUUAGAUACCCCCGUAGUCCCUGAGCGGGCUGGCAAGGCGCAU
rnacentral:rRNA from 1 species